GACGAACGCUGGCGGCGUGCUUAACACAUGCAAGUCGAGCGGUAAGGCCCUUUCGGGGGUACACGAGCGGCGAACGGGUGAGUAACACGUGGGUGACCUGCCCUCAGCUCUGGGAUAAGCCUGGGAAACCGGGUCUAAUACUGGAUAUGACUCCAUGACGCAUGUUGUGGGGUGGAAAGCCUUGUGCGGCUGAGGAUGGGCCCGCGGCCUAUCAGCUUGUUGGUGGGGUGAUGGCCUACCAAGGCGACGACGGGUAGCCGGCCUGAGAGGGCGACCGGCCACACUGGGACUGAGACACGGCCCAGACUCCUACGGGAGGCAGCAGUGGGGAAUCUCGCGCAAUGGGCGAAAGCCUGACGCAGCGACGCCGCGUGAGGGAUGACGGCCU
rnacentral:rRNA from 1 species